rnacentral:rRNA from 1 species
UACGUAGGGUGCGCGCGUUAAUCGAAAUUACUGGGCGUAAAGAGUGCGUAGGCGGUUCUCCAAGUCCGUUGUGAAAGCCCCGGGCUCAACCUGGGAAUGGCAGUGGAAACUAGAGAACUUGAAUCUGGCAGAGGGGGGUGGAAUGCCGCGUGUAGAAGUGAAAUGCGUAGAGAUGCGGAGGAACACCGAUGGCGAAGGCAGCCCCCUGGGCUGAGAUUGACGCUCAGGCACGAAAGCGUGGGGAGCAAACAGG